AUUGAACGCUGGCGGCAGGCCUAACACAUGCAAGUCGAGCGAGCGGCGGACGGGUGAGUAAUGUAUGGGGACUGCCCGAUAGAGGGGGAUAACCACUGGAAACGGUGGCUAAUACCGCAUACUAUCGGCUACCCCAUAUGGAAUUCGCUAGUAGGUGGGGUAAAGGCUCACCUAGGCGACGAUCUCUAGCUGGUCUGAGAGGAUGAUCAGCAAGACUGGGACGGAGAAACGCCCCAGGCUCCAAGGGAGACAGCAGUGGGGAAUAUUGCACAAGGGGCGCAAGCCGAAAGAGGCAAUGCCGCGUGUAUGAAGAGGGCCUUAGGGUUGUAAAUUACUUUGAGCGGGGAGACGUUACCCGCAGAAAAAGCACCGUCAAACUCCGUGCCAGCAGCGGAGGAAAUA
rnacentral:rRNA from 1 species